ACUUCCGGGUAGGACGGGAAUGCCUUCGUGGCGACGAGUUUAAAUAAAUCAGUUUAAUCUUGACUAGAGGAGAUAAAAACCAGUUAUUAAUAACAGAAAAGUGAUGAUGGAGGAUGCGGGCAUCGAUCCCGCUACCUCUCGCAUGCUAAGCGAGCGCUCUACCAUUUGAGCUAAUCCCCCGCUUGCUUUCGGUCUCUGCUUCCGAAUGACGGGAAAGCUAAACCGGGACCAGCUUGUGGAGAUUGGGAAUUUGUCAACGUCGAAAGAAAAGAAAAGAAAAUCUUUGGAGGAUGCGGGCAUCGAUCCCGCUACCUCUCGCAUGCUAAGCGAGCGCUCUACCAUUUGAGCUAAUCCCCCGCUGCUAGCUUCUCCGCCGAGAAAGGAAAACGUCUGGAGGAUCCGGACAUCGGACCCGCUACCUCUCGCAAGCUAUCUACUAUUUCAGCUCACCCCCCACUUUUCAAUCCGUCUCAUCAAGCAAUUUCACACGACGACGGAAGAAACGGGAACAGGAACGGGUCAGGCGCGACACGAACGGAGGAGGGGGGAAAAAAAGGCAGUUGAGGUGAGAUUUUGUUUUUGUUUUUGCAUUUGGCGGACAAAAACCCACCACAGUGAAGGAUGCGGAACGUCGUCGGUGCUCAGCGAACCCCCCAGAAAACCGCCGUCACGACCGGGUCAUUUUCAAAUCUUUCUAAAAACAACUUUUGGGGAGGCGCGACGGCCGCCGCGCAAGAACUCGACCCGUCUUCGUUGCCGUCAUCCGGCGCAAUUGCGCGGCUAGCGAGCUGGCGACCCCAAAAUGCGCUUUUCUCUUCGUUGCCGUGUAUUUCCGGUGUGUUGCCGAAAACGCGCAAAGGGCCGAGAACUGACGAGUAUUCCGAAGUGGAGCACGGGUGUCAAACUCAAGGCCCGGGGGGGCAAAUCAUGUGUAUCCACUUUUAUGAUUUUUGUUCAAAUAUGCCCCAAAAUAUCAAAUUGUCAGUCACUCAGAUUUGAAAAAUGUACGGGUGUGGUCAGUCAUGCCCACAGAUAUGACGUUGCGGAUGUGUGUUCUGUUUGUAAUUAUGAGUGUAGCCCUUUAAGAGCUGAGGGGGGCGGUGUCAGAUAAGCUAGAAAGUAGAAGUAGGCAUUUUUCAAGACCAUGUAGUUGGAUAGCAGACCCCCCAACAAUCCUCACAGCUCAGGACACAUAACUUUGAUCUAUAUGCAGAUUUUUUUUUAGGGGGGGGGGACAAAUCCAUAAACUGUUUCUGUUUCUCCCCACAAUUUAAAAAUUGUUUGGUUAAGAAAAAAAUGUAAAAAAAAAAUGCUAUUAUAGUGCCCGCCAAUUAUCUACAAAUUCUCGUUCAAAGCGAGGGUCCACUAAGUCAAAUCAGUUUUCCCCACUGAAAUUCAUUGAAAUGACAUGAAUCCGUUUUGCCCCCCCCCGCUCAAAAAAAAAAAAAAACACAGCUCUUUUUGUACGUGCACUUCAUAAAAACAAAAUGGAACGCUUGUAAAAUAUAAAUAGCUCAAAAGACCAUCCAUCCAUCCAUUUUCUCAGCCGCUUAUCCUCACAGGGGUCGGGGAGAGCGCCGCAGCCCACCCCGGCUGUCGACGGGCAGGAGGCGGGGCUACACCCUGAACUGGUCGCCAGCCAAUCGCAGGGCACAUCGAGACAAUCGGUCAUGCUCCUUGCGAGUGUGUUCAUUUUUUUAAAAAUUAUUUUUGAAUACUGCGUUAUUUGAGUGUCCCAUUCAACGCACAUCUGAAAGAACAUCGGCAAACGAACCAACCCCACCCCCCCCGACCCCCGCUCGAGUCGCGCCGCAGCCGAAACUGACUUAUCGUUCAAAAUUUGUUGUGCGCCAGAAAGCAUUAAAAAUAAAAAUCAUCCAACUGCUAGCUUAAAACUCCCAAAAACACGUCAAUUGGACUGCGUGGAAGUCAAGGUUACCGCUGUUAGCGUAACCAGGGUGACAGUAACCAGCAGUGCCGUGCGCAAACACCGCAAUCAAAAUAAACAGCAAAAAGUUUCAAAGCGUUUUCCUUGAUACGCGAAGAGUACGUGGCCCGAUAGUGCAAACGUGGCAUUUUGAGAGCGUUCCUUUGACGUAAGAAGCAAG